rnacentral:rRNA from 1 species
AUUGAACGCUGGCGGAAUGCUUUACACAUGCAAGUCGAACGGUAGAGGGGGCAACCCCCUUGAGAGUGGCGAACGGGUGAGUAAUAUAUCGGAACGUGCCCAGUCGUGGGGAUAACGUAGCGAAAGUUACGCUAAUACCGCAUACGAUCUAAGGAUGAAAGCGGGGGAUCGCAAGACCUCGCGCGAUUGGAGCGGCCGAUAUCAGAUUAGGUAGUUGGUGGGGUAAAGGCUCACCAAGCCAACGAUCUGUAGCUGGUCUGAGAGGACGACCAGCCACACUGGAACUGAGACACGGUCCAGACUCCUACGGGAGGCAGCAGUGGGGAAUUUUGGACAAUGGACGCAAGUCUGAUCCAGCCAUUCCGCGUGCAGGAUGAAGGCCCUCGGGUUGUAAACUGCUUUGUACGGAACGAAAGGUUUCUCUAAUACUAGGAGCUCAUGACGGUACCGUAAGAAUAAGCACCGGCUAACCUACGUGCCAGCAGCCGCGGUAAA